rnacentral:lncRNA from 1 species
AACAUGAUAUAGUCUGAAAGCCUCUAAACUAUCAGAGGACAUGUCCCCAACUAACUCUAACUGCUGAAAUAAAGUAAGUACUGAAAGAAUGAAAUAAUCAAAUAAUAACAUCAUUGAAUGAUGAGGACUCACUGCUAGUCUGUCUGCUGAACGUCUGAUCUACUAAGGGUGCUCUGGAGCUCAUACUUCUGAACCUAUGGUAUAAAACACCAUAGCGCAAAUGCGUCAGUACGGUUGAAAGUACUGGUAUGCAAAUGAGGUAGGUAGAAUGCAAGGGAUUUAUAUGCAUGAACAAUACUAACUAACUAUAUAACAUGAGCAUUAGAAUACACACAUAAAUACGUGAACUGUGACUGAGAUCAUGACAUCACUAAAUCUGAAUACUGAUAACAUAAGUAUCGUAUAACUGAUAUACUAUUAUCUGAAUGACUGUGUCUGACAGUUUAUUUCUGAUGGAACUAGCUGAGUUUCGUACUGAACUGGGUGAUUGUAUCUGAAAGUUUUGGAUUCUGUAGAACUAUUAGAAUUCUAUUACUGAGAUGGAGACUGUAACUGUCAGAAGUAGUCAUCUAAACAACAUACCCCAAAUAAGAUAAUAUAAUUGAGUUGGGGUCCAAUCUUUAACCCCAAUUGGAAGGGUGUCAAUACCGCACCACUGGUAAGGAUAAGUUGUGAGUAAUCUCUCAUCUAACAGGUACUCAAAGGAGAAUGGUGGGACCCUUAUAUAAAAGGUUAAGCCAUCUCAUCUACCCUCAACUAGCAGGUUUGAAGUCUCAACCAACGUUGGCUACGUAGUUAUAGAGAGCAAGGAUUGCUUCUAAGAAUGACACCCUCUAAUAACAGGUGAGUUCCCAUCCUUGGGCUCACUCGGUGCUGAAUCCUACUCCCAUCUUAAUAGACACUGAACAUGAUUAACAAAACUAAAUUGGACUAUGUUCACUGAGUUCCAUUGACUAAUGGAAUACUACUGAGAUUACUGAAUUUCUGAGAUUUCUGAGAUUACUGUGUUUACUGAGUUUUCCUAAGUCGCAUGACUGAUUAAGUUCUAUGAAUUAUGCCUUGACUGAGAGUAUCUGGAAAACAUGACACUAGCUCUAGGCACACAGCUAAAUUGUAGGGUACAAGUACCCCCAGGACUCGAGAGCAUGAAACUGACAAAACAUGACACUUCUUGACACAUGACCAUAGUCAACAAUUCAUAGUACAAUUAUUGGGGAUUUUUACAAAGUUUUUGCAUGCUAUAAGCUUACACAUGAGUAGGAAUACAGGUAAACAUAUCAUAAUUUCAUAAGCCUAAUCUCAUGAGCAUUACGUCAAUCUAUUACAAAGCAUAACAAUAACUUGGGAGUUAUAUCAAACAUAAGAGAGAAAUAUGGAUUCAUCAAUUUUGGUCACAAAUGAGUCAUAAGAUAUAAUUCCUAUUCUCUUAGGUAUUUAUCAAACACCUUGCAUGCAUAUCUUUAGGCUUAGUCAUGAAUAUUGAAAUAAUACUUAGGCAUAUCUUGCUUUCUUUCACCUCGGAUAGUAGAGAUUAUUCUAAACUGUUCUGAACCCAUAUACUACCUUCUGCUAAAUAGACUAAGCGGACACCUAGUCGGGCAAGUUGAUGGACUUCUUGACCUAAAUUCUUCUUACUGUCCUCAAUAUGAGCAACACUACCCAUAGACAGUCUACUGAGAGCGUCGUCCAUUACAUUGGCAUUUCUUGGAUCAUAAAGGACACUCAUAUGGUAAUCUUUCAAUAGCUCUAACCUCCUUGUCUGACGGAAGUUAAGAUCUUUUUAAGAGAAUACAUACUGAAGGCUCUUUUGAUCUGUGAAUAUAUCUACACGAACACCGUACAAGUAAUGCCUCCAAAUUUGUAAGGCAAAAACUAUAACUACUAACUCAAGAUCAUGAGUUGGAUAAUUCUUCUCAUGGGGUUUAAGCUAUCUGGAGGUGUAGGCUAUGACCUUACCAUACUGCAUGAGGACACAACCCAAACCUACUCUAGAUACAUCACAGUACACUACGAAUCCAUUUGAACAGUUUAAAAGAGUCAAAACUGGAGCUGAAGUAUGUCGACUCUUCAACUCCUGAAAACUCUUUUUGCAUGAAUCUGAAUACAAAAAAUUGACUUUCUUCUGAGUCAAUAUGGACAUAGGGGAUGCAAUAGAUAAAAAUCCUUUAACAAACCGACGGUAAUAGCCAACCAAACCUAAGAAACUCCUGAUAUCUGAUAGAGAGAUGGGUCUGGGCUAGUUUCUCACUGCUUCAGUCUUUUGAGGAUCAAUUCUAAUGUUAUCACCGGAGAUAUUAUAACCAAGGAAUGCUACUGACCUUUGCCAAACUCGCACUUACUGAAUUUGGCAAAUAGCUGAUGAUUUUUGAAAGUCUGCAACACUAUUCUGAGAUGAUCUGCAUGAUCUUGCUUGCUACGGGAAUAGACAAAAAUAUCAUCAAUACUAUAAUGAACAUGUCCAAGUACUACUUGAACACACGGUUCAUCAAUUCUAUGAAAGCUGCUGGGGCAUUGGUAAGACCAAAGGAUAUGACUAAGAAUUCGAAGUGACCAUACCGAGUUUGGAAAGCUAUUUUUGGAAUAUCACAUUCUCUGACUCUGAGCUGAUGAUAGCCUGAUCUGAGGUCCAUCUUAGAAAAAUAGAUGGCACCCUGAAAUUAAUCAAACAAGUCAUCGAUUCUGGGAAGUGGAUACUUAUUCUUAAUGGUGACUUUAUUGAGCUGAAGGUAGUCUCUACGCAUUUUGAGAGAACCAUAUUUCUUGCGCACGAAUAAUACUGGUGCGCCCCAUGGGGACACAUUGGGUCUGACGGAUCCUUUAUCUAGGAGAUCCUUCAACUGUUCUUUUAACUCUCUAAGUUCUGCUGGUGUCAUUCUAUAUGGCAGAAUAGAUAUAGGCUGCGUAUCUGGAAGAAGAUUAAUACUGAAGUCUAUUUUCCUUUCGGGAUGAAUUCCUGGAAGAUCUUUGGGAAAGACAUUUAAAUAUUUAUUCACUACUGGGACAGAUUCGAGACUGGGAGUAUCGAAACUAGUGUUCUUAACUCAAACAAGAUAAUAGACACAUCCCUUAGAUAUCAUUUUUCAUGCCCAAAGGUAGGAAAUAAGUUGACCUCUAAAAACUGAUGUACUACCCUUUCACUCUAUGAUAGGUUCAUUCGAGAACUGAAACUGGAAAACUCUAUUUUUGCAAUCAACUGUGUCAUAGAAGUAAUAAAGCCAAUCCAUGCCGAGAAUGACAUCAAAAUCAGUCAUCUCUAAUUCGACAAAGUUUGUUGAAGUGACUUUCUGAGAUACCAUAACUGGACAUUUCCUGUAUACCUGUCGGGCAAUGAUAGUUUUACCCAUUGGGAUAUAGACUGAGAAGGGCUUAACUAAAAUUUUGGGACUGACUCCAAAAUGAACUGAUAUUUAAGGAUUAAUAAAAGAAAAAAAAGCUCUUGGAUCUAGCAAAGCGUAAACAUGUACAUGAAAGAUCUAUAACGUACCAGUAAUCACAUAAGGAGAAUUUUCCUAAUCUUGUCAGGACUUAAGAGCAUAGAGUCUGUUUGGGCUUUGCCCACUAGUUGCACUGCAAGUUGCACCCUGUUGAUUUAGGCAAUCGUACAAAGAUGGAGGGCGAUUAAGCUGACCCUAAGGACUUGGCAGGGGACAAUCUCUAACUUUGUGGCCUGGCUUACCACAUCCCAAGCAAAUAUUACUGUCAGCUCUGCAAGUACCCUGAUGGUGCUUGCCACAUGUCUGACAAAGAGAAUAGGUUCGGUUACUACUAACACUGCCCUGAGACUUAGAGCCUGGCGCCCUAUCUCUAUUGCUGUCUUUGAAUUUUGGCACUGGAGCACUGGCUGGGGAAGGAGCUGGAACGGAUGACUUUGGGUGGAACUGAGAAUGACUUCCACCCUCUGACUUAGGCUGAGCAAAGUUAAAACUACCUGUCCUUUCUCUCUUAUUCUACUUCUCUCUCAUCUUAAUUUUUUGCUCUUCUAUCUGUUAAGCAUGGAUCAUAAGCCUGGAUAUGUCCAUCUCACUAAUCAACAUUGUAGAUCUGCACUCAUUGACCAUACUAUCAUUCACCUUAAAAACAAACUUACUCAUCUUAGCCCUACUGUCUGAUACUACAUGAAGAACAUAUCUAUCUAGUUGAGUAAACUUAAGAGAAUACUCUUUCACUGUCAUGUUGCCCUACCUGAGGUUAAUAAAUUCUAAACCUUAGCUUCCCUCAGCUCUAGGGGAAAGAAUCUACCUAUAAAAGCAGUGGAAGACUCCUUCCACUCUAUAGGUCUUACAUCUACACCCCUCUCAGCUUUUUACUAUUUGAACCAUGUGUGAGCCAUAUUCUGCAAUUGAUAUACAGCUAGCUCAGCACUCUCACUAGCAGUAACUCCCAUGAUAUUUGUAACCUUUUAAACCAGAUCAAGGAAUUCUUGAGGGUCCUCGUCUAAUUUAGAACCAAAAAAGGAUGGAGGAUUCAUUUGGGUGAAGUCUUGAAUCCUGGCUGUAGCAGUAUUGGCCACUGGGUUGGCCAAAACUACAGUUGGUCGUUCAUUCUGGGAAGCAAUUGGAUUAGCAAGAGUAGUAAAUACAGCUCUAAACUCUGCAUAAGAAAUAUGUUCGUCCAAGGGAUCUACUUGGAUGAGCUGAGGGGUGACUAAUUUUCGUUUCUUCUUUUGGAAGGCAUGUUCUGUAGAAGAAAGAAAGAAAUGAAUUAAACUAAGAGUUAAAUUUGAGCUCAUGCUCACAGGCACGAUAUGAAUACUGAAAGAAGGGAAAUUAUUUCUAAAAUAUCUUAUAGUCUCCUGUACAUAAAUGUGACGUGCAACACACCCAUAUACAAGACUGUACUAGGUGAGGAUUUUAGACUUCCUAGGACACUAUUGAACCUUAGGAUCUGAUACCAAGUUUGUAAUACCCUAAAUAUGGUACCCGGAAUGCUACACAGUGCUCAUAACCUCGAAGGACCACAAGCUAACCCAUGUCUGAUAUCUGUAACUGGGUACUAUAUAAUAUGUUGUAUAAAUGUGGAAAAGAGUUAAAAGGCCAUAAGGUUUAAAUAUCUAAUAAAAUAUAACAUCUGGAAAUACGGUAUAUCAAUACCAAAAUAAAAUUGAAAUAACUGUUUGAAUAUGCUAUAGUCUGAAAGUCUCUAAACUAUCUAAAUAAGGAGUUGAUAGGACAUGUCCCCAACUAACUUCAACUGCUAAAAUAAACUAAGUACUAAAAGAAUGAAAUAAUCAAAUAAUAAUAUCCUCGAAUGAUGAAGACUCACAUCUAGUCUGUCUGCUAAACGGCUGAUCUACUAAGGGUGCUCUAGAGCUCGUACUUCUGAACCUACGGUAUAAAACACUAUAGUGCAAAUACGUCAGUAUGAUUGAAUAUAUUGGUAUGCAAGUGAGGUAGGCUGAAUGCAAGGGGUUUAUAUGCAUGAAUAGUACUAACUGACUGAAUAUCAUGAGCGUGAGAAUCCAUGCAUGAAUACGUGAACUUUGACUAAGAUCAUGACAUCACUGAAUCUGAAUACUAAUAACAUAAGUUUCGUAUAACUUAUCUACUAUUACUUGAAUGGUUGUUUCUAACAGUCCUUUUUCUGAUAGAACUAACUGAGUUUCGUACUAAAAUGGGUGACUGUAUCUGUCAGUCCUGGAUUUUGUAGAAUUAUUUGAGUUCUAUUACUGAGACUGAGACUGUAACUAUGGGAAUUAGUAAUCUAACUGACAUGCCCCAAAUAAGAUAAUAUAAUUGAGUUGGGGUCUAAUCUGUAACCCCAAUUAGAAGGGUGUCAAUAUCGCAUCACUGGUAAAGACAAGCUGUGAGUAAUCCCUCAUCUAACGAGUACUCUAAUGGGACCCUCAUAUAACAGGUUAAUCUACCUACAACUAGUAGGUUUGAUGUAUCAACUUAUGCUAACUAUGUAGUUCUGAAGUGCAAGGACUAUUUCUAAGAAUCACACCCUCUAAUAACAGGUGAGUUCCCAUCCUUGGACUCACUCAGUGCUGAAUCCUACUCCCAUCUGAAUAGACACUGAACAUGAUUAACUAAACUGUGCUGGACUACAUUCAUUUAGUUUCGUUGACUGACGGAACACUAUCGAGAUUACUGAAUUUCUGAGAUUACUGUGUUUACUAAGUUUUUCUGAGUAGCAUGACUGACUGAGUUCUAUGAAUCAUGGCUUAAAUGAGAGUAUCUGGAAAACAUGACACUGGCUCUAGGCAUAUAGCUAAAUUAUCGAGUAUAAGUACCCCCUGGACUUGAUAGUAUGAAACUGACAAGACAUGACACUUCUUAACACAUGACCAUAGUCAACAAUUCAUAGUACAAUCAUUGGGGAUUUUCAUGAAGUAUUUGCAUGCUAUAAACUUACGCAUAAAUAGAAAUACAUGUAAACAUAUCAUAAUUUCAUAAGCCUAAUCUCAUGACCAUUACUUCAAUCCAUUACAAAGCAUAACAAUAACGUGUGAGUCAUAGGAAGAGACAUGGAUUCAUUAAUUUUGGUCGCAAAUGAGUCAUAAGGCAUAAUUCCAAUUCUCUUAGGCAUUUUAUCAAACACCUUGCAUGCAUAUCUUUAGGCUUAGGCAUCAAUAUUGAAAUAAUACUUUAUGGCAACAUUUUACACUUUCAAUGCAAAAAUUUCAACCAUAUACUAACAUAUUUUCAUGAUAGUCAUUAAAGAUUUCAACUUGGAAAUCAAACAACAACAUAAAUAUGGAUAUGAUUCAAUUCAUACCAUAGAAUCCAAAAUUUAUAUUUCAAAUAGGGUUUCUUGAGCUUUGUGGGUGAAAGAAACCCAUGAAUCAACAAUUGACAUACCUGGGUGGAUGAUUUCUUGAAGAUUGGUAGAGUAAAGCUUGAAGUCUUGACUUGGGAUUAGACACCUAGGUUUUCUUGUUCUUGGGGAUUGAUCUUUGAGAGAAACCCUAAUUUGGUGUUGUAGUUGAAUAAUGAAGUUAUGAGGUCUGGUCUGGAAUAAUUAAGGGUUAAAACGAUUGGAAAAAGACCCAAAUACCCUUUUAAAAAUGGCUUAAAAUCAUUGAUCGAAAGUGGCGACAGUUUGGGCAACGGUCCAUCACUGGCUCGUCGAUCCAUCCCAUCGUACUUAGCCAAAACCUAAACUUCCUGCCUAGUCUAUGACGGUUUGGGCAACAGUCCACCGCUAGCUCGAUGGUCUGUCGGUAUUAACCAUCGCACUUGUCCAGAUGAUGGGUUCACUACCUUAGUCGCGAUGGCUUGGGCGACGAUCUGUCACUAGCUCGAUGGUCCGUCGGCCUGACCAUCGCUUCUGGGUGGUUUUCAUAGCUCUCUGUAAAAUGUCCAUAACUUUUUACUUCGAUACCGAAUUUAGACGAAAUUGGUAUCAUUGGAAAGCUAAUUCAAUUUUUCACAUGAUAAAAAGUCAAAAUUGGAAAAAUUCUAUCUGAUUUAAAUAUUAAUUAUUUAGGUAGUCAUCACUAACUCUUAUGGAAACAAGAUUUGACUUAAAGAAAGUUCGGGAUAUUACAAUAAGAAUGGGUAUUAAGAAAUUUUUCUAUCGACUUAGAAUCAAAUAAGUGCUCACAUGAUACCGUCAUUUGAAUUGUGACAUUCUACUUCUUCGAAUCAUGUUGAGAUAAUAGGUAUUCCUCAAGUAAGUAGAGAAUGUAUAUAGUUUGGAUUGUGAUACUUUUAAUCAAAGUAAGAUGAGUCUUGAAGUGUCAAGGUAUUAUCCACGGUCCUAAAUAAAUGUAUGCAAAGCCCAAUUAAAAGGAGUUUUCAUAAUUAAAAAAAAAAGAUAAAAUGAAAUAUAUUUUACCAAAAUUAUCCUUCCUACGUAAUCUCCAAAAGAAUGGUAAAUUAAGAAGAUGGUAUACAAGACUGAAAUAUAGGGACUUGGAUGAUUGAAUCUUGAUCUUCAUCAAAGGGAGUAAAAUGCUCAUUUUACUUUUUUCCCCUUUAUCAAGGUUUUCUUUCAAUGAAUUUUCUUAAUAAAGUUUUAAUGAAACAACUAGCAAAACAUAUUAUAAGAUAUGCAUACUUUUUCUCUUUACUAGAUUUUUUUCAAUGUAUUUUAUUUUAAUAAAUUUAACGAGACAUAUAAUCUAUUAGUGAACAUCGAAGGGGGAGUGUUGUGAAUACUCUUAAUUAUGAAUAUCCAUUUAUUAAUCACCACCACAGCUUACAAGCAAAUUACAAGUAGCUUUGCAAACAAGUUCUUACAAAUACUUCCUCAGUUUCAAAAUAAGUGGCACUUUUAACUCAUUUCACAUUCAUUAAAUAAAAUAAAUAAAAUAGAAGAAGUAGUUUACUAAGGUAUCCGCAUUUAUUAGUUACUGUAUCUUUAAAAUUGAAGACUAUUAAGAAAAAGCUCUUUAAUGCAAGAGUAUAGUUGUAAAAAUGUAUUAAUUUUUAUAUUGAAUCUAUUGUAUGGUAUGUGCUAGACUAUGAUGAAAGUGACACUUAUUUUAUAACAUUUUUUGGCUAAUGUGUCACUUAUUUUGAGAUUGAGAAAAUAACUUACAAGUAACUUUACAAACAGAUUUCUACAAGCAGCUUAAAGUCAUUUUGCAAGCAGAUUUCUAUAAGCAGCUUAAAAAUAGGUUUGCAAAUAGUGUCCUGCUUCUAUUAUUAUGUAAAUUGAAAGACAAUUCAAUUAAUUUGUAUGUCAGUUUCAGUAUUAAAAAAUAAUGUCUCUCUCGCUCUAAAUUUAUCUCUGUCUUUCAAAUGUAUUUACUUUAUAAUUUUUAUUUUAUAACAUAUUAAAUAUUUUUCUUAAAAUAUGAGUUACGUCUUUAAAAAAUUAUAAUAUGGACCAAAAAUACUACAACAAUUAGAGUAAAAAAGAUGAACUCGCAAUACAUUUGAAUUAAUGAGGGUCAAAGAUAAGUUCAUUAAGGGUUUCUUGGGAAAGGUAGAACUUCUUAGUUUUACAAAAUCAAAUAAAAUCUUACAACUUAUUUAAGAUUUCAUAAUUAACAUUAAAAUAUCAUAUACUCUAAUACUUAUUUUAACAUCAAGUCAAACAUAUUCUCUUAGAUUAAAUAAUUACUUGCAAUAUUUUUUUUUCUACUUUAUUUAAAAAUUAUACAAGCUAAUAGAUUUAAAUUAUAAAUAUUUAUUUAUUAACAUUUUAUAUAGAAUCAUACGAAGAAACAAAAGAUACUAAUUAAUACAUAAAUUGAUUUUAAAUCCAUUUAGAUUCGUUUAUGGUUGUUUAACAAACAAAAAUAAGGACCUACUGGAUGAACAUUUUAAUAAAUCAUAAUGUUAAAGGAUUGCCUUUAUGUCUUGUCUUAUAUAAAUUAAAAAUAAGAGAUCAAUUUAAUAUAGUAAGUAAGAAAUUUCUUUUUAAAUAAGCUGUCUACAUGAUGAGACAAUUUACUACCUCAAAUAAAGAGAAGCAAAAGAAUUAACAAGCUUUAACAUGAUCUAUAUUUUAGUAAUUUAACAUGAGAUAGUUAAUAUUACAUUUUAAAUAAGUUGUUUAAAAUAAUUUUAAUAGGUGCUGAGUAAAUAAUUACGUUUUCAUAAAUUAAAUAUAGUGCAAAUCUUUGUAAUGAUAUGUAUCAUGUGAAGUUGUGAAAUUAUGGAGGAAUCGCUUAUUGUGUUUGAUAGAUAAACACCUAUUCAAAAUUAAUGAGUAUUUUUUAUUAUCUUACUAUAAUAUUUUAAUAGUUAUUUAUGCAAUUAAAUGUGUGGCCAAAAUUACUUUCACAUUUUUAUUUUUUUAUGAAACAUAUGUGAGUAUUUGCACACCCUUCUAUAAACUACGUCACCCAAUAUUUCAAUUUAUAUAACCUUGAGUAAACAUCGAAUUCAAGAUACGUGAAAAAACUUCACAAUAUUUAUUCUGUGAUUUUGGAUAAGAGGAGAGAAAGUUUGUCUAAAUAUCAAAAUUAAAAAAAAAAAUUAAAUGGAACAAACUUCAAAUAUAAUUUCUCUUUAAAUUUAAAAUUAUUCUUUUCAUUUGAUUCAAGUAUAUUAUUUAAAUAAAUAAGAAAAAAAGAAGGGAUAAUAGUUCAAAAAAUACCUGUCCUUUGAAUAAAUUUGUAGUUGCGCAUACUGAACUUUGCGGGGGUCCUAUGACACCCCUGAACUAUUUAAAACUGAAAUUAUAAGACCUCUAAAGGCUGACAUGGCAAAGAGAGUGUGUCUCACUUCUUUAAGAGAGUGAGCACCAAAAAAUUAUUGAAGCUUUAUUUUUAAUAUAUAUAUAUAUAUAUAUAUAUAUAUAUAUAUAUAUAUAUAUUAAGUUCUUUCUUCUUUCUUUCACCAUACCCAAAAUCUCUCCACCACCACCCACCAAUGCAGCAGUAGCCACCAGCGUCAUCUCCGCCAUUUGACCACUUCUUCACCUUCUUUCAUUUUCCUCCCAUAUAAAUCUUCAACCUUUUCUCUUUUUUCAUUGCCCAAUUUUUUUUAAAAUCUUGUCAAAAUUUUAAGAAUUAAGAAUCUAACAUCAAAAAAAUUAAGAAUCUUUAAAUUAUGAACUUCAUCUCACUUAUCACAAUGAUGAUAGUGUAAUUUUUGAAUCUUCAAAACCCACCAUCAAAUUCUAAAUUACACCACAAAAAUAUUACCUUCAUAAUUCAAAUUAUGAAUUUUAUCUCACCCACCAUCACCACCCCAUUAGCUGUCACUGCCACUGCCACCCCUACUCUCACCCUCUCUUAUCAAAUUUGGAGUGGAAUUAAGAAAUUAAAUCUAAUGAAGAAGAAAUUGAAUAGUAGAAAUCUCUAAAUUCAAGUCAAUCUUUGCUAGAUGUGUAUUGGUGAAUUUAUCAAAUUGUAAACAAAUUCUAUCAUUAUUGUACUUAUUCUUCUUGUACGAUCAUAAAUUCAACAUCAAUUUUUGUAGUUUAUAAAUUAAAAGGAAAGAAAAGAAACAAAAAAGAUUGGCAGGUGGAUAUUCACGUUUUGAUUUCUGAAAUUGAAGAAAAUGAUAGAAAGAGAAAGAAAAAAGAUUUAAUGAGUAUUUUCAUUUUGACUUUUGAGAUUAAAGAAAACAAGAUGAAGAGAAAGGGAGAAAAGAGUUUGAGAUUAAAGAAAAUAAGAUGAAGAGAAAGGGA